rnacentral:rRNA from 1 species
UGAAAUGCGUAGAUAUGUGGAGAACACCAGUGGCGAAGGCGACUUUCUGGACUGUAACUGACGCUGAGGCGCGAAGGCGUGGGGAGCAAACAGGAUUAGAUACCCUGGUAGUCCACGCCGUAAACGAUGAGUGCUAGGUGUAGAGGGUAUCGACCCCUUCUGUGCCGCAGUUAACACAAUAAGCACUCCGCCUGGGGAGUACGGCCGCAAGGUUGAAACUCAAAGGAAUUGACGGGGGCCCGCACAAGCGGUGGAGCAUGUGGUUUAAUUCGACGCAACGCGAAGAACCUUACCAGGGCUUGACAUCCUACGAACUCUCUAGAAAUAGGGAGGUGCCCUUCGGGGAGCGUAGAGACAGGUGGUGCAUGGUUGUCGUCAGCUCGUGUCGUGAGAUGUUGAGUUAAGUCCCGCAACGAGCGCAACCCCUGUAUUUAGUUGCUAACGCGUAAGGGUGAGCACUCUAGAUAGACUGCCGGUGAUAAACCGGAGGAAGGUGGGGAUGACGUCAAAUCAUCAUGCCCCUUAUGUCCUGGGCUACACACGUGCUACAAUGGCCGGUACAGACGGAAGCAAAGCCGCGAGGUGGAGCAAAUCCGAGAAAGCCGGUCUCAGUUCGGAUUGCAGGCUGCAACUCGCCUGCAUGAAGUCGGAAUCGCUAGUAAUCGCAGGUCAGCAUACUGCGGUGAAUACGUUCCCGGGCCUUGUACACACCGCCCGUCACACCAGGAAAGUCUGCAACACCCGAAGCCGGUGAGGUAACCCGAAAGGGAGCUAGCCGUCGAAGGUGGGGCCGAUGAUUGGGGUGAAGUCGUAAAAAGGUAACCGUA